CCCCGUCCGUCCCUUCUCGUUCCCCCCCUCGUCUCGUUUUUGUCUCCUCUCGUUGCCGAGUAAUGUUUCGUCGCGCGCGCGUGUUUGCGGUCGGGCGGUUUCUCCUCCAAGGGUGCUCUUAACCGAGUGUCCGCGGCGGCCGGUACGUUCACUUUGAAAAAAUUAGAGUGCUCAGAGCGGGCUGUUCAAGCUUGCAUACGAUAAGCAUGGAAUGAUGGAAGAGGGCCUCGUCUACGUCUGUCGGUCUCCGUCUACGGCGAGGCAAUGAUCGAAGGGAGCGGUCGGGGCCACUCGUAUUGCGACGUUAGAGGUGAAAUUCUUGGAUCGUCGCAAGACGAACUGCAGCGAUGGCGUGUGGCAAGCACGUUUUCCUCGAUCAAGAGCGAAAGUCGGAGGUUCGAAGACGAUCAGAUACCGUCGUAGUUCCGACCGUAAACGAUGCCGACCGGCGAUCCGCCGGCGUUCGCUUCCAUGACCCGGCGGGUAGCCUGCGGGAAACCAGAGUUCGGUUCCGGGGGGAGUAUGGUUGCAAAGCUGAAACUUAAAGGAAUUGACGGAAGGGCACCACCANGANNNGAGCCUGCGGCUUAAUUUGACUCAACACGGGAAAACUCACCCCGGUCCGGACACCGGUAGGAUUGACAGAUCGAUAGCUCUUUCUCGAUUCGGUGGGUGGUGGUGCAUGGCCGUUCUUAGUUGGUGGAGCGAUCCGUCUGGUUGAUUCCGAUAACGAACGAGACUCCGGCCUGCUAACUAGUGCGCCGAUGUGUGUGCGUUUUUCGCUACGGCGGGCUCGGGCCGUGCGUGUUCGUCGCGCGUUGCCUCGUGCGUGCGUUCGCGUUCGUUUUGUUUCGUCGGUGGCGGCUGUGGGGGGGGAGGAGGUGGCGGUUCUCCGUCGCCUUUUUUUCUUUCCGCAGUCGUCUCGGCGGGGCGGCGGGCGUGGGCGUCGUCGACGGCGCGCGGUCGUGCGUGCGGUUUCCGCCGGGUCCGGGUCGGUUUUCUCACGCACUUCUUAGAGGGACGGGUGGCAGAAAGCCACACGAGGCGGAGCGAUAACAGGUCUGUGAUGCCCUUAGAUGUCCGGGGCCGCACGCGCGCUACACUGGAGGUAUCAGCGGGGACUUCGCCCCGGCCCGAGAGGGCUGGGAAACCUCUCAACCACCUCCCGUGAUAGGGAUCGGGGCCUGUAACCAACCCCGUGAACGAGGAAUUCCCGGUAGGCGCGGGUCAACAGCCCGCGUCGAUCACGUCCCUGCCCUUUGUACACACCGCCCGUCGCUACUACCGAUCGAACGGUCCGGUGAGGUCCUCGGAUCUGGCCGACGACGCCGCCGGGCUGCCUGGUGGCUUCGGCUGCUUGUGUCGCCUCGGCGUUCGACGCCUGGAGAAGACGACCGAACCCGAUCGUUAGAGGAAGUAA
rnacentral:rRNA from 1 species